rnacentral:lncRNA from 1 species
AAAACUAGGUGAAGCAAUGCGCGCGGAGAAGGAAAAUUUGGAGUAAUUUACGCGGGGAGACCAAAUUUUUAGUGCUAGCCCAUAAGUCCACAAGCCCACACCCGAUCGCCUCUAUUCCGAAACCCUAGCAAGUUAGUGCAGCCGCCUCCAUCUCUCCCGGUCAUUCCCAAUCACCCCAUCCAAUCCCAAUCCACAUGUUCCAGCCGCCAUCGUCCCAACUUCGGCGCCUUCUCAUGGCACCUCGACGGCGGUGAGGCAUCCGAUCUGGCGCGCACCCAAACGAGGUGGCGGCAGAUCAACAUCGAUGGUGUGGUUUGCAUCUGGUCAUCAGGAGAGGCGAGGAGACGCGGAUCCAGAAGGCAUGCCAUGGCGGCGGCCAGAUCCAUGCCGGGACAGGAUAUGCGUCUGGAGAACCAUACCAUAGAGG